rnacentral:rRNA from 1 species
UACGUAGGGGGGCUAGCGUUGUCCGGAAUCAUUGGGCGUAAAGCGCGUGUAGGCGGUCCGGUAAGUCCGCUGUGAAAGUCGAGGGCUCAACCCUCGAAUGCCGGUGGAUACUGUCGGGCUAGAGUGCGGAAGAGGCGAGUGGAAUUCCUGGUGUAGCGGUGAAAUGCGCAGAUAUCAGGAGGAACACCUAUUGCGAAGGCAGCUCGCUGGGACGUAACUGACGCUGAGACGCGAAAAGCGUGGGGGAGCAAAACAGG